GGGGGGGGGGGGGGGGGGGGGGGGGGGGGGGGGGGGGGGGGGGGGGGGGGGGGGGGGGAAGGUGCUGCUGCUGCUGCCCAGAGCAGCCGGCAGCGCUGGCACCGCUGCUGGAGCAGAGCUGGCAGCGGGCUGGGGCUGGGGGAGCUGCAGGGGGGGCUCAGCCUGCGCUGGGCACGCAGCAGGCACAGCUGCAGGGUGGGGACAGGCUCCCCUGCUGCGGGCAGGGCUGGGCACCCUGCACUGGGUGCAGUGAACCCUGCACUGGGUGUAUUGAACCCUGCACUGCGUGUAUUGUGUCCUGCAUCGGGUGUAUUGUGUCCUGCAUCGGGUGUAUUGAAUCCUGGGUGUAGUGCAUCCUGUAUUGCAUUUACUGCAUCCUGUAUUGGAUUUACUGCAUCCUAUACUGGGUGUAUUGAACCCUGCACUGGAUUUACUGCAUCCUGCAUUCCUGCAUUGGGUGUAGUGCAUCCUGUAUUGGAUUUUACUGCAUCCUGCAUUGGGUGUAUUGAAUCCUGCAUUGGGUGUAUUGAAUCUUGUACUGGAUGUACUGAAUCCUGCAUUGGAUGUAUUGCACCCUGUACUGGGUUUACUGCACCCUGUACUGGAUGUACUGCAUCCUGCAUUGGGUGUAUUGAAUCCUGCAUUGGAUGCAUUGCACCCUGCAUUGGAUUUACUGCACCCUGCAUUGGGUUUACUGCAUCCUGUACUGGGUAUAUGAAAUCCUGUAUUGGGGUGCUGGGGCUCACAGCUGCAGCCAGUUUGUGUUUGCCAUCCCAGUACUGCAGGCAAUGCAAACCAGGAGUUGGGUUUUGCCAACCCAGUACAGCACUGGAUGCGAACUGGGAAUUUGUUCUUGCCAUCCCAUGA
rnacentral:lncRNA from 1 species